rnacentral:rRNA from 1 species
UACGUAGGUGACCAGCGUUGUCCGGAUUUACUGGGCGUAAAGAGCGCGCAGGCGGUCGUUCAAGUCGAGUGUGAAAGCCCCCGGCUCAACUGGGGAGGGUCACUCGAUACUGAUCGACUUGAAGGCAGGAGAGGGAAGCAGAAUUCCCGGUGUAGUGGUGAAAUGCGUAGAGAUCGGCAGGAACACCCAGGGAGAAAUCAGCCGCCUGGGCAAGUGCUGACGCUGAGGUGCGAAAGCGUGGGGAGCGAACCGG